GUGCCAGCAGCCGCGGUAACACGGGGGGAGCAAGCGUUGUUCGGAAUCACUGGGCGUAAAGGGCGUGUAGGCGGUUAGGUAAGUGGGAUGUGAAAGCCCCCGGCUCACCCGGGGACCUGCAUUCCAAACUGCCUGACUUGAGUAUGGGAGAGGAUAGGGGAAUUCCUGGUGUAGCGGUGAAAUGCGUAGAUAUCAGGAGGAACACCGGUGGCGAAGGCGCCUAUCUGGCCCAAUACUGACGCUGAGGCGCGAAAGCUAGGGGAGCAAACGGGAUUAGAUACCCCUGUAGUCC
rnacentral:rRNA from 1 species